GUGGCUAUAGCUCAGCUGGUAGAGCGCCUGACUGUGGAUCAGGUGGUCGUGGGUUCAAAUCCCACUAGCCACCCCA
rnacentral:tRNA from 4 species